rnacentral:rRNA from 1 species
CUGCCUGAUGGAUGGGGAUAACUACUGGAAACGGUAACUAAUACCGCAUAACGUCGCAAGACCAAAGAGGGGGACCUUCGGGCCUCUUGCCAUCGGAUGUGCCCAGAUGGGAUUAGCUAGUAGGUGGGGUAACGGCUCACCUAGGCGACGAUCCCUAGCUGGUCUGAGAGGAUGACCAGCCACACUGGAACUGAGACACGGUCCAGACUCCUACGGGAGGCAGCAGUGGGGAAUAUUGCACAAUGGGCGCAAGCCUGAUGCACCCAUGCCGCGUGUAUGAACAAGGCCUUCGGGUUGUAAAGUACUUUCAGCGGGGAGGAAGGGAGUAAAGUUAAUACCUUUGCUCAUUGACGUUACCCGCAGAAAAA